GACGAACGCUGGCGGCGUGCCUAAUACAUGCAAGUAGAACGCUGAAGGAGGAGCUUUCUUCUCUGGAUGAGUUGCGAACGGGUGAGUAACGCGUAGGUAACCUGCCUGGUAGCGGGGGAUAACUAUUGGAAACGAUAGCUAAUACCGCAUAAUAGUAGAUGUUGCAUGACAUUUGCUUAAAAGGUGCAAUUGCAUCUCUACCAGAUGGACCUGCGUUGUAUUAGCUAGUUGGUGGGGUAACGGCUCACCAAGGCGACGAUACAUAGCCGGCCUGAGAGGGUGAUCGGCCAAACUGGGACUGGGACACGGCCCAGACUCCUACGGGAGGCAGCAGUAGGGAAUCUUCGGCAAUGGACGGAAGUCUGGCCGAGCAACGCCGCGGGAGUGGAGAAGGUUUUCGGAUCGUAAAGCUCUGUUUGAAGAGAAGAAAGAGUGUGAGAGUGGAAAGUUCACACUGUGACGGUAUCUUACCAGAAAGCGACGGCUAACUACGUG
rnacentral:rRNA from 1 species